UGUUUUGGCGUUGCAAUGAAAAUGGGUUU
rnacentral:piRNA from 1 species